GUCGGCUUGUGGACACCGCCUCCUUUUGAUGAUCAACCAAUCAGUAGACGAUCGUCGUCGAACAGAUGUUUGUAGUUUGCAGAAUGGAAAGCACCUUGCAGCGGAAAUUAUUUUCACUUCUACGUGAAAAUCUAGCCAGAAAACUGACCUGUCAAAUAUAAGAAACAGAGUGCUAUUCCAGCUUUGAUGAACUAUAAAGUAAUGGUUUGAAUUUGAAAAGCUUUAUUUAUAUUAGACAGGGAUGAUGACCUGCAGUGAGACAGCGGUAGAAAGUUACAUAUAACUCAUCAUGACCAUUAUGGAAGAUCAGAUCAGAUGAAAAUUAUGUUUAGAAAGCCACCAAAUAUGUCUAUGAAAAGUAGAAAAAAGACAGCAAUUCUAUGUAAAGUACUUAGCAGAAGCAUUGGCUGUUUCAAUACCAAUGUCAGAGUUGGAAUUUAGUGUUUUGAUGCUGAGAGAUAGAGGAACAUUAACUGGACAAUUUAGCUUCUUUUUCGUGUGUCAUUGAAGUUGAUGUAUACCAUCUUAAAAAGCUUUUACCACAGUUAAAAUGAAUUCUAAAUACAGGCAGUCUGAAGAUUUGUGAAUUUUCUAACAAUUGGAGUUUCAAAAUGGAUUUCAUUUAAAAAAAUUAUUUAUUUCACGGAUGAAAUUUGUCGUCUCUUUC